CCACGAUGUCGGCCUCACCGAGCAGCAACAGCGCGCCUUGGAAGACUUUCUGGCCCAGCGGCAGAUCGUUGAGGUCG
rnacentral:tRNA from 1 species